ACCCAUAGCAUCAUUCUCUCCUCUCCUCCCCUGUUCCCAGCCACCCCCGAGAGAUGACCCUUGUGCUUCGCCUCCGUCGAAGACCCCUCCUUCCAAUCCCCAUUUCAACACUCUUCCCCCAUCCCCAUGCCCGCAUCCCACCUCCUUUUCCAUCCCCAAACCCCCCGUAUCAAUCCCCCAACAACCCCUACUUUUUCUCCUCCUUGUCGCCGCCGACGAAAUUCCCCGAGUACGAGAUGCCGUCGGUGACCUGGGGCGUGAUCCAGGGCCGCAAGGAGCGGCUCGUCUCCCGCGUCAUCAUCUCCGACUACCUCAAGUCCAUCGGCGUCGUCCCCGACGAGCUCGAGCACCUCGAGCUCCCCUCCUCCGUCGAGGUCAUGCGCGAGCGCGUCGACUUCCUCCACCGCCUCGGCCUCUCCGUCGACGACUUCAACUCCUACCCCCUCAUGCUUGCCUGCAGCGUCCGCAAGAACAUGAUCCCCGUCCUCUCCUACCUCGAGAAGCUCGGCAUCCCCCGUCCCCGCCUCGCCGACUUCCUCCGCCGCUCCCCCCAGGUCCUCCACGCCAGCGUCAUCGUCGAGCUCGCCCCCGUCGUCAAGUUCCUCCGCGGCCUCGACGUCGACCGCUCCGACAUCCCCUUCGUCCUCCAGCGCUACCCCGACCUCCUCGGCUUCAAGCCCGAGGGCACCAUGAGCACCUCCGUCGCCUACCUUGUCAGCGUCGGUGUCGCCCCCCGCGACAUCGGCCCCAUGGUCACCCAGUUCCCAUUCUUCCUCGGCAUGCGCGUCGGCACCACCAUCAAGCCUCUCCUCGACUUCCUCCUCUCCCUCGGCCUCCCCAGGCGAAUCCUCGCCCGCAUGCUUGAGAAGCGCCCCUACGUCCUCGGCUACGACCUCCACGAGACCGUGAAGCCUAACGUCGACGCCCUCCUCGCUUUUGGAGUCCACCGGGAGUCCCUCCCUUCCGUGAUCGUGCAGUACCCCCCGAUUCUUGGCCUGCCGCUCAAGGCUAAGCUCUCGGCGCAGCAGUACUUCUUCAACCUCAAGCUCGAGAUUGACCCCGAUGGCUUCGCUCGGGCCCUCGAGAGGAUGCCUCAGAUCGUCAGCCUCAACCAGAGUGUCAUCCUGAAACCUGUGGAGUUCCUCCGCGGCCGUGGGAUCUCCGGCGAGGACGUGGCGAGGAUGGUCGUCAGAUGCCCCCAGCUUGUCGCGCUCCGGGUCGAGCUUAUGAAGAACGCUUAUUACUUCUUUAAGAGUGAGAUGAAGCGGCCUUUGCAGGAGCUGUUGGAGUUCCCCGAGUACUUCACGUAUAGUUUGGAAUCGAGGAUCAAGCCCAGGUACCAGAGGAUAGCAAGCAAGGGGAUCAGGUGCAAUCUGAACUGGUUUUUGAAUUGCAGCGACCAGAGAUUUGAGGAGAGAAUGCGGGGGUAUUACAUUGAAGCGGAGACUGCAGGGCCUUCUUUUGUCAUGGGCGGAAAGUUGGAGAUGCCGGGGAGGGAGUUGGUAUCCGAGGAAGAGGAGGAUGAGAAUGAUGAUGAAGUGCUCUACAGGCGGACUGUUUCACUAUAGUAAAUCAGUUGGAAUUCCUUGCAACCAUAAAGCAUCAUCUCAUAGACAGACUGGUAGUCAAUGUAUCGUCGACCUGCCAUCCUUUUCAUCCAGGCUUUGUCGACUAACACCAGCCAUGCUAGUGAUUUGUUAGCUAACUUGAAACAGUUGCAAUAAUUUUGGCACUGUUAAUAGAGGGUGUACCAUAAAGAACAUUGAUUUUCAGAUAGUAUGUAUAUAUUGUCAUUUAUAUAGCAUCGGCAAUGCCCUUGAAAAUUCUAGAUUGUCUGAACGCUUCCAAUAUUUUUUGUUGUAACAUCUUAUUUCUGUGAAACACAUCGGCUUACAAUUUAUUCCUUGCGGUUUGUCUGGUUUCUUCUUAAGAUCUGGAUUGACCAGGCAUAUGGGAAGACUCAUUUAUGUCUA